CCUACGGGUGGCAGCAGUAGGGAAUCUUUCACAAUGGGCGAAAGCCUGAUGGAGCAACGCCGCGUGCAGGAUGAAGGUCUUCGGGUUGUAAACUGCUUUUAUAAGCGAGAAAUAUGAUGGUAACUUAUGAAUAAGGAUCGGCUAACAACGUGCCAGAAGCCGCGGUCAUACGUAGGAUCCGAGCAUUAUCCGGAGUGACUGGGUGUAAAGAGUUGCGUAGGUGGCAUAAGUAGUAGCUAGUGAAAUCUUGUGGCUCAACCAUUCAGACUACUAGCGAAACUGUUAAGCUCGAGACAGUUAGAGGUAAGUGGAAUUUCUAGUGUAGGAGUGAAAUGCGUAGAUAUUAGGAAGAACACCAAUAGCGUAGGCAGCUUGCUGGGUCGGUUCUGACGCUGAGGCACGAAAGCGUAGGGAGCAAACAGGAUUAGAUACCCGUGUAGUC
rnacentral:rRNA from 1 species